rnacentral:tRNA from 5 species
GCCCAGGUGGCGGAACUGGCAGACGCGCUAGCUUGAGGGGCUAGUGUCCUUUUACGGACGUGGAGGUUCGAAUCCUCUCCUGGGCA